rnacentral:rRNA from 1 species
AGGUUGACCUCGGAUCAGGUAGGGAUACCCGCUGAACUUAAGCAUAUCAAUAAGCGGAGGAAAAGAAACCAACAGGGAUUGCCUCAGUAACGGCGAGUGAAGCGGCAAGAGCUCAAAUUUGAAAUCCGGCCCCCUUGGGGGCCUGAGUUGUAAUUUGCAGAGGAUGCUUCGGGCGCGACCGCGGUCCAAGUCCCCUGGAACGGGGCGUCGUAGAGGGUGAGAAUCCCGUCUCCGGCCGGCCGGUCUCGCCCGUGUGAAGCUCCUUCGACGAGUCGAGUUGUUUGGGAAUGCAGCUCCAAAUGGGUGGUAAAUUUCAUCUAAAGCUAAAUACUGGUCGGAGACCGAUAGCGCACAAGUAGAGUGAUCGAAAGAUGAAAAGCACUUUGAAAAGAGAGUUAAACAGCAUGUGAAAUUGUUGAAAGGGAAGCGCUUGCGACCAGAGUCGGCUGUGGGGGUUCAGCGGGCAUUCGUUGCCCGUGCAAUCCCCCGCGGCCGGGCCAGCGUCGGUUUCGACGGCCGGUCAAAGGCCCCCGGAAUGUGUCGCCUCUCGGGGCGUCUUAUAGCCGGGGGUGCAAUGCGGCCAGUCGGGACCGAGGAACGCGCUCCGGCACGGACGCUGGCUUAAUGGUCGUCAGCGACCCG